UCCGCACACAUGGUAGUUGGUAGUUAUGGCCACCGCAGGCUUCAGUUUGGAGCUUUGCUUCCGGAUACCAUGGUGUCGCAGAGCAACAGCCGUGGUUGUUGUAACAGUGUGAGGUUUUUGAAUGUGUAUAGUAGCGAGCUUUUGAUUAAGUUUCAGUCAAGCGACAGAGGUCGAGUUUGUCUUUGAAACUACAUUAAAUGGCCUCUUAUACACACGAAGAGUUUGAACUCAGCCAGAAACAUGAAGAUAUGUGAGUCUUUUCAGUUGUACUCAUCGGUUAAAAGGCUUCUCUUAGUCCUAUUUUUAAUUAUUCAAUCCUUGUUAUGAAUCUAAACGGCUUAAUGAAUGUAAUUUUUCUCAUGUAGACUGAGGAAAAGAGCAUCACUGCUGCAGCAGAUGGAAGCGCAUUAUGAACAGCAGAAGGCUAAGAAGAAACAGCAGUGUCUGAUGUCUCAAGCAGCGAAGGAGAGGAAUGCUCAGAUCCUUGAGGAUUUACAGAAUGCUGAAAAAAAUCUUCAAACCAGACAGCUGCUUCACCCAGAUAUUAUUAACCUUGAGACUCAUUAUUGGGCCUCAGUUGAACGGAAACUGCCAGAAUGGGAGCAGUAUUUGCUUGGGAAAGAGCAAUCGCCGGUGAGUGAGACUGGGAGAUUGCUUAGACAACAGAAACUGAAACCUAGACAGCAAGAUCCCUCCCCUGCACAAUGCAAGGGUAAACCACCUCGACCCAAACCUAGAUGAGCUGUCUGGUGUGUAACUUAUUUAUAUUUUUUUGCCCCAAAUUGUUAUUUUUAUUUAUUUAUUUUUUUUGAACGGAAACUGCCAGAAUGGGAGCAGUAUUUGCUUGGGAAAGAGCAAUCGCCGGUGAGUGAGACUGGGAGAUUGCUUAGACAACAGAAACUGAAAACUAGACAGCAAGAUCCCUCCCCUGCACAAUGCAAGGGUAAACCACCUCGACCCAAACCUAGAUGAGCUGUCUGGUGUGUAACUUAUUUAUAUUUUUUUGCCCCAAAUUGUUAUUUUUUUUUUUUUGUGUGUUAUAUAUUUGAUUUAAAUAUUAUAUAUGCAAAUACAGAAUAAAUGUGUUCAUUCAGUAGUGCAUUAACAUUCACAUGCACAAGUGCAUCCACAUGGGGGCAAUACUGACUACAUGUUCUGUAACUACACAACUGUGUAUCGAAAAAUAAAUGAAUGAAUCACUUGUAAAAAUCAGCUGUGAUUUACAGUGAAGUAUUAAAACUAUUAUUUGUGCAGUUAGCAAUGAAAUUAAAUGGUCUUAUUGAAGUUACUUUAAAAUGAGUUCAGAUUAGUUUUCCUUUACAAGUAAAAAAAGGAUUAUCCAUAUAGUGUCAAAUAAUAAACAUGUUUUCAAGUAAAAUAAAUUUACCAUUCUAUUUCCUCCUAACCCACUAUUUAACCUGUAUCUGAGUUGCAUUAUGCAAUGCUAAGCAUUACUAGUAUCUUCAAGAACAUUUUCUGAUGUCCAGUUUAAAUAAAAAAUCUUGUCUCAAGAUGCACAAAUGCAAAUUUGUGUGAGAAAAUUUGUGUGCAAAAAUGUUGCUUUUAAAUGCACCCCUAAACCUCAUUGCCUCCUUCCUGAACCCUCAACAACAAUGAGGUCAUGACUGCCAUCACACAAAGCCUAUCAGAGCACUUGGACUGUCCAUGUGAUAAUUGCUCUUGUAUUGCCUGUCUGUUGAAGGGUCAGCCACUUGAGUUGAGAGUUAAGUUGUCUAUAAUUCUGAAAAUGACACAUUUGAUUUGUUCUUUGAUUAGGUUUGUUGUUUAAUUAGCGUUUUCUCAUAUUCAGACUGGUGGUUUUGGGAAUCCAGGCAUGAAACAAGCUCUAAAGUAGCUUGUAUCUAAGUGGGUAUAUAUAACAAACAUAUAUAUUUUUUAUUGACUUUGAGUGCAUAUACUGUUUAAUCCUGAAUUUUUUUUCUCAUACUCGUUCACUGUCUUGUCUAUCGUCCCUCCAUGGAGGGAGAGAUUGCAGACCGUGUCCUAGCCUAAUUGGAUGAUCAAACCAGUUCAGGGUGACACGGAGUGGCGGCUUGACAAACGCGAUCAUCUGGAUGGUCACAGUUGAAGUGGUGGUGGUUGGCAGCUGCCCUUCCUCCUCAGCUGGGACUCCUGCCCCUGAGGUCAGGGCACCAGUCAAGGCUUCCAAAUUGGCAGGGGGGUUGGUUGGCUGUGGAGGAGUGGAGAAUUCUGGGUGUGGGUGGAGGGCACGACAGCAAAUUAUCUAAAAGGGUUUUGAAGAGCACGAUCUGGAGCCCUUCCAAAUGACUAGUUCUGCAUUAUGUAUUCUAAUAGGGAAAGCCCUGAGGUGGUUUGGCUACGGAUACCACUGCCAACUGAGGCUGUCAGAGCCCAGGCACAGGCCAAGGCCAAAUGUUGUUGAUCAGCUCUGGGCUUCAGACACCUGGCCAUCAGCCAGAUCUUCAGAACACUAUCGUAAGAAGAUAGAACAAAGUUGUUUGUUACUGAAUAACUUGUGUCUGUAAAAAUGGCAUAGUUGCUGUUACAAGAAAGCCUGAUUAUGUUGAGGAUUAUGGCACUUUGUUUGAAUAAUAGUAAAAUUACUAAAUAAAAAUACAUAAUGAAAUUUUUUAGUAUUUUCAUUCAUCUCUGAUCAUUAGAGCUCUGCAACGGUAUAAAUAUUUAAAAAUUCCCUUAGCGAAAAAAGCUCGACUUCCAUCAGAAACGUACCACCCAUUUCUAUCAAAGGAGCUUUUCACAACUAAAGAUCUUUGUCAAUGUAGUGCACUUAAACACAAAUAGCUUUUGCUUGGGAGCCUGUUGGGGAAUUCUCUCCAUUCUUGAAACUAUUAUUCCAGCACUAGUGCUGGUCAUGAGGGGACUCCUGUUGUGUUUUUGUUCUGGCUAACUUAUACGUCAUUCUGUUUUGUAUUGAUUUUGGGUUUCAAUAUUGUUAUUUUCCCCAUUUACCACACUGGAUCCCAUUAAUCCAAGUAGUCAAAACAUCCACUCCAUCCCAACAUUUCUGGCAGUAGUUUGAGUGCGCAUUGCUUGUUUGUGUGUAGUCAUGUAUUUAUGUUUUACACUCUUAAAAAUAAAGGUUCUAAAGAUUUUCUCAGCAAUGCCCUUGGGGGUUUCUUAUUGUGAAGAACUUUUGGAACCUUUUUCCACUAAAAAGUACAAUGGAAAGUUUCCAUGGAUGUUCAAGCUUCUUCGUGGAACCAUAGAUGCCAAUAAAAUUGUAUAUGGAUUGGACUAUAUUUUGUUCAGAAACCCACCACAGACUGGGCGUAAAAUCACAGCCUAAGGGAUCAGUGAGUGACACAUCGCUUUAUAUCAAAUCCCCUACAUUCUAACUUGGUGUAUUGAAGAGAGUACCAGCUUAACAGCAGGGUUUUUGGUCUGAGUUAAUUAAGACCCAUCCAUUGGGAAACGGAGUGGAGGUUGUUCUGAAAGGGCAUCCUGGGUCAAAAGAUUAGCACCGGACAUCCCAGAUUUACUGAUCCUGGCAAACAAUGAGACUGAUUACAGGUCACUCCUCUAUAGAAGCAAUACAGCAAUUUAAACAGAUAACUAUUGGAGAUCUGCUGAUAAGCCUUAGAUUUCAUUUAGCAGUUUCCUUUAGCCCAUAUCCCUUAUUUGCUAACACAAUGCGUCACUUGCAUUCAUAUUUAUAUAAUAGGGCGCUGAGAUUGUUGAAUAUAGAACAGAUUGUUUUGAGGUCAGACCUUCGUCUCUUUUAAGACAUUGUGGGUAAAGAGUUGGACGAGGGGACAGAAGGUCCCCUUCAGCUGCGUGGCCUGAAGCCCUCAAGACUGCUUCUGAAUGGAGGUCAUACCCGAGACUGACAUUGAUGUAAUUCCGGCGAGGCAGAGUCCCUGCACUCAACUACCGUGCGGCUGCCUCAACACCUUAGAGCAAUAAAGCUCCUUCUCUGAGCGUGCCCUUGACGAGCAGGCCGAACGCAGCGAAGGGGGCACCGCUGUCUGCCACUCAAGGCCCUGCGUGGGUAAUGCCUGAUCCUGCUCAUUUAGGAAUGGGAAUGUGAACUCUCAAAGCAUGUUUCAUUUCUCUUUUUGCAUGUGACUUUAUUUCAAACAUCCAUGUGUAAACAAGGAUGUCUGAAAUCAUAAUUUUUUAAAAAUAUGUAUGCCA
ensembl:lncRNA